rnacentral:misc_RNA from 1 species
AGCAUUCGUCUUCUGGUACGGGGCCAUAGCUCAGCUGGGAGAGCGCGUGCUUUGCAAGCAUGAGGUCGUCGGUUCGAUCCCGUCUGGCUCCACCAGAUGGUUUGAUCACCAACGGCGUUACCGUCGUCCGCGAAACAUCACUUCGCACGCAUUGGUCCGGAUGGACGGUGACGUGCGUGUUUUCUGACAUCGUAAAGAGGAGAUCGAUCCGAGUUUGGAUCCAGCGAAGCAAUUCGCGGGUACCAUUCCUAAUCUCCAGAUCGUUUUCGGCGCUCGCGCAUCGCAGCUCAUCGCAAGAUGAGUGAGGUGAGCGAGUUGUAAAACGAUCUUUGUAGCGAAGCUUGACCGCCUCGCUAUCGGGCCGAUCUUACGAAGCAAGCUGGUCUUUCUAGUCAAUGUCCGGCUGCGCAAUCGCAUUCAUCGAGGAUGCGCGCCUGAGACUUCGGUCUUUGGGCAAUUGUGCAGACAACAUUCUGCCGAGUGUGUGGACAUUGAUAAUGAGAGCAAUCAAGUGCCUUAAGGGUGUUCGGUGGAUGCCUUGGCGCUGAGAGGCGAUGAAGGACGUGCUACGCUGCGAUAAGCCGU